rnacentral:rRNA from 1 species
GAUGAACGCUGGCGGCGUGCCUAAUACAUGCAAGUCGAGCGAGAAGCUUGGAAAUGACGCUUCGGUUGAUUUUCCAAGCGGACAGCGGCGGACGGGUGAGUAACGCGUGGGCAACCUGCCCCUGACAGAGGGAUAGCCAUUGGAAACGAUGAUUAAAACCUCAUGACACCGUAGUAGCACAUGCUACAUCGGUCAAAGAUUUAUCGGUCAGGGAUGGGCCUGCGUCUGAUUAACUGGUUGGUGAGGUAACGGCUCACCAAGGUGACGAUCAGUAGCCGACCUGAGAGGGUGAUCGGCCACAUUGGAACUGAGACACGGUCCAAACUUCUACGGAAGGCAGCAGUAGGGAAUCUUGCACAAUGGGCGAAAGCCUGAUGCAGCAACGCCGCGUGAAGGAUGAAGGCCUUCGGGUUGUAAACUUCUGUUCUAAGGGAAGAAAGAAAUGACGGUACCUUAGGAGCAAGCCCCGGCUAACUACGUGCCAGCAGCCGCGGUAAUACGUAGGGGGCAAGCGUUAUCCGGAAUUAUUGGGCGUAAAGAGUGCGUAGGUGGUUACCUAAGCGCAAGGUUUAAAUUAGAGGCUCAACCUCUACAUGCCUUGCGAACUGGGCUACUUGAGUGCAGGAGGGGAAAGCGGAAUUCCUAGUGUAGCGGUGAAAUGCGUAGAUAUUAGGAGGAACACCGGCGGCGAAGGCGGCUUUCUGGACUGUAACUGACACUGAGGCACGAAAGCGUGGGUAGCAAACAGG